UACAGAGGUCUCAAGCGUUGUUCGGAUUCAUUGGGCGUAAAGAGCUCGUAGGCGGUUUGUCGCGUCGAAUGUGAAAACCCGGGGCUCAACUCCGGGCCUGCAUUCGAUACGGGCAGACUAGAGUUCGGUAGGGGAGUCUGGAAUUCCUGGUGUAGCGGUGAAAUGCGCAGAUAUCAGGAGGAACACCGGUGGCGAAGGCGGGACUCUGGGCCGAUACCGACGCUGAGGAGCGAAAGCGUGGGGAGCGAACAGG
rnacentral:rRNA from 1 species